rnacentral:rRNA from 1 species
CUACGGGGCGCUGCAGUGAGGAAUAUUGGUCAAUGGGGGAAACCCUGAACCAGCGACGCCGCGUGCGGGAUGACGGGGCUUUGCCCUGUAAACCGCUGUCGGAGGGGAAGAAAAGCCGGGUCGCCCGGCUGGGACUGUACCCUUAGAGGAAGGUUCGGCUAACUACGUGCCAGCAGCCGCGGGAAUACGUAGGAACCAAGCGUUGUCCGGAAUUACUGGGUGUAAAGGGUGCGCAGGCGGAUCUGUGCGUCAAGGGUUAAAUACCUCGGCUCAACCGAGGAAAUGCCUUUGAUACGGCAGGUCUUGAGUACGAGAGAGGAUGGUAGAAUUCCUGGUGUAGCGGUGAAAUGCGUAGAUAUCAGGAGGAAUACCCGUGGCGAAGGCGGCCAUCUGGCUCGUUACUGACGCUCAGGCACGAAAGCGUGGGGAGCAAACAGGAUUAGAUACCCUCGUAGUC